UCGCUCCUACCGAUUUCGAGUGAUUCGGUGAACCUUUUGGACCGCGGACAGUCUUGUGCUGUCUGUGGAAAGUCAAGUAAACCAUAUCACUUAGAGGAAGGAG
rnacentral:rRNA from 1 species